AGGGACUGUCCAAUGGAUUAUUUUCCUGAAUUUAGCAGGCUAUUAUUUUGAUAUUAAUUAAUAACAUUCGUUAAUUUGAACCAUAUCCAACUCAACCUUUUGCUAAAAACUACAAAACUAAAGAGCAACAGCCAAAUUGUAUUACGACUUUUGCGUCUACCUUGGGAAAUCCCUUUCUAUUUGUAUUUCGCGCUUCGUGUCACGUGAUUCACACACAAACAAACAAAAUGGCGGAGGCUUCGAAAUCUACAAUGAGCGUACCAGCCAAAACAGAGGGAGAGAUGAGAAGAAGUAAAUGCGUGAGACAGCCAUCUAAGAGAAUGUUGUUGUAUUCUCAGGACACAGAUUCAGAUUCAAGUCUACAGAAGAGUUAAGGAAAACGUCCUGCCAGAAAGAUCCAGAAAGUUGAUACAUUAGCAACAAUAACUAAGUGGUGCUCUUGUCACAGAUGCCCACAAUACGAGAGAGUGGAAGAUCGAGUUUGCUGUGGGAUGGUCCCAGAAUUAUGCUCAAGUCACAGACCUGUGAGUAAGAUUCAUGUAUUAUG